AAACCAGCACCUCAAGUGGUCAGGAUGAUUAUUGGGCCUAAAGCAUCCGUAGCCUGAUCUGUAAGUUUUCGGUUAAAUCUGUACGCUCAACGUACAGGCUGCCGGGAAUACUGCAGAGCUAGGGAGUGGGAGAGGUAGACGGUACUCGGGAGGAAGUGGUAAAAUGCUUUGAUCUCUCGAUGACCACCUGUGGCGAAGGCGGUCUACCAGAACACGUCCGACGGUGAGGGAUGAAAGCUGGGGGAGCAAACCGGAUUAGAAACCCGAGUAGUCC
rnacentral:rRNA from 1 species